CAAUGAUUUGCAAUUUGUUUUUUCAAAUCAAAAUUAGGAAUCCAGUGACGCAACCCAAGUACCAGAUGGAGAUUGUCUCAGCGAUCCACGCAUCCAUAAAGAUGCCAACGACGAGGACAGGGACCAUGCUAGAAAAGAAAUGACACUGAAGAGGAGGCACUCCAGAACAAGGGUGCAGAUUCACGUGCCCCCCGGCAUACAUCCAACCCCCAGAAUUCUGCAACUGGGGCCACAUCUGAAGAGAAAACAAAUGAGAAUGAGGAGGAGGCAUCCCAUAACAAGAUGGCAGAUGAACGCGCCCCCCAAGAUGCAUCCAAAACCCAGAGCUCUGCAAGUGGCGGCACUUCAGACG